rnacentral:lncRNA from 10 species
CUCAGGAAGGCACCUUCCUCUGUCAGAAUGGCCACCAUGGUACCAUCCGUGUUGUGGCCCAGGGCCUGCUGGACUCUGCUGGUCUGCUGUCUGCUGACCCCAGGAUCACCUGUCCCUUUCACUUGCUAACUCCUACUUAGCCUUCAGUUUCGGGCUGCAAUGGUCCCCGCUUCCAGGAAGCCUUCCCUGACUCACCUCCUCCUAUGCUGGAUCAGAGCCUCUUCUGGCCUCCUUCUGAGUUCUCCCCGGUCUCUGAUGGAUUCUACCUUUCCCACUGGACCAUGAAGGUGUCCAGGGGCAGGAGUUCCUUUUGCGGGUGGAGCCCCAGAACCCUGUGCUCUCUGCUGGAGGGUCCCUGUUUGUGAACUGCAGUACUGAUUGUCCCAGCUCUGAGAAAAUCGCCUUGGAGACGUCCCUAUCAAAGGAGCUGGUGGCCAGUGGCAUGGGCUGGGCAGCCUUCAAUCUCAGCAACGUGACUGGCAACAGUCGGAUCCUCUGCUCAGUGUACUGCAAUGGCUCUCAGAUAACAGGCUCCUCUAACAUCACCGUGUACAGGCUCCCGGA